UGAGCUUUGUAUGGGGAACUUUAAUAAUAUUAUAUGUUAUUUGAACAUAUUUUCUUUGUACAUAGACUAUCUUGUGUUUGUGUAGAUACUUUACAAGUAUUCUGGGAUUUUGCAUAGACCUACUGUAUGUCAGGCAAUGAAAGAAAAGAAGAUCUGCUUUCAGCAACCACCUCUAAUGCCACCCUAAGCACUAAUGUCUGCUUCUUUUGAAUAUUUUACCCAAAGCACCUCAGUCUUUUAAUUUUCACAUUUACCACCACAUGCAAACCAGACUUUAGCAGCUCUUCAUUCUACAUGUCCAUAACAGUCUGAUCAUGGAACCCUUACAGACGAAGUUACAAUCCCAUCUUUUCUUCUUAUCAGUGAAAAGUGUUUCUUACAGAUUUUCCCUUUGAAAAAAGAACUCAUCACAAAGAUUCUGGUAACAUGCACACAAGUGUGCUAGAGUCUAUCUGUGUGUGUUUGCACGCCUGUGAAUGUGCAGAUCCAGCUUUGCACGAGACAUAAAUCUGUUUGGCGCUCAGAAUGUGUCUAUCGGUGUGUAUACAGGCUCAGGGAAACCAUGGGUCCUCCAGUGAUGAGGGAAGAGAAAAAAAUCAAUACUUGCCAUGUAGCAUGUAACCAAUAGAAUAAGGGGAAUGAUUUAUGGAUGGAAGGAUGCAGGCAGUAUUAUCUGGGGCCUUGUACAGAGAGAGGGAGAAAGGAGAGAGAGGUGGAGGAUGAAGUGGACUGCAGCAAUUAUUCCUACUAUAUGGCCAGCUUUUUUAUCUUUUCUUGCAGCAAUAACUCCCCCUCUUUUUUUUAAUACUGUGGGACAGAGACGAAAGACUGGUAACGUGUGGAAUGUAGCAUGGAUCAGCUUUUUCUCAAUGGUCUCGGGAUGACGAUAAUAUCUCAUAGUACAGGUACAGCAAGAGAAGGAGAAGAAGAAAGCCAUCAGCAAGCUCUCAUCUCUCCCAGUUUGUCAUGUGACGGAGCCGGUCGCAAAAGCGUUCUAACAACCAGUCAGGGUUAAUGGCCCGGCAUCGAGUGAAAGCAUGGAGGAUAACGAAAAAGUGCUAAUAUUGAACAAAUUAGAACGGGAAGAUCAGAUUGUGGAGCAGAAACUGGAGGCAGAGGGAGGACCCGCAAGCUUUGACAGAUGGUACUCAGCGCUUGACUCCUGCUGGGCUCAGCAGGGCCCACGGUUUAGGACUGUCAAAAAGACUCUGGCCUACGAAGUGGAUAACAAAGUGUGGGCUUUCCUAUAGAAGAGCCCAGAGACAUCCAGGUUGCUCUUGGGUUUCCUUUUCUUCCAACUCGGUUCAGAAACUCAGUUCAUUAAGUUGCCCUUUGCGGCAAGAAAUUAAAUGAGGAAGCAGGAACUGCAACAAGCCAGUGAGAAAGGCUGUUAGCAUGGAUGGAAUAAAGUUUGGGAAAUUCAAGAAAAUCAAACCAGCAAAUGGGGAAUUAGGACAACUUCAAAGAGGAUCCAGAAGAACUAAAUGUCUCUCCUUUUAUUCAUUUUUGAAUAGCAUUGCAAUAUGGGACAAAGCACCAAACGUUGGCUAUAAAUUAUCAUUACAUUGAAUGUUUGCAAGUUACAUCUGAACUGCAAACCUGUUGACAUUUUUUUCCUUACCUUCUUAUUAUGCAUUAAGUCAACAUGGUCACACAGCAUCAGGCAACGGAAUUUGGGAGCAUGUUCCUGGGCAAGAUCAGCUAUGGGUCACAUAAGGUGCUUGCAAUGUGGAAUUAUUGACUCCUCCUCCUUCUUGGAUCCAGAAAUUUACCUUAUUAUAUACCAAGGAUUCGGUACCUCAAGAGAGUAUAUUAAAGUUUUCCAGGGCAAGGAAUGGUUGGUUGGAAGAGCCCUGGAAGAACAAAUGAAAUGAAACACGAUUUGCUUCUUAAAUAAAUAUCCUUCCUGGAAGACCAUUUCCAGUUCUUCAUGCCAUGUGGUGCAGAUGCACUCUAGAGCCUCUCCAGAGGAGGACAGCCAUGCUGGCAAGACGACAGUAGAAAGAAGUCCUAUGAGAAAUUGCUAAAAAAAACAGGUAUGUUUAGUCUGGAGAAGAAUGAGAGAUCAUGUGGGAUCAGUCAUAAGAUAUCUGAAGAGCUGUCAUAUAAAAAGAGGAAGAACAUUCAGAAGUCCACAUUGAGGAAGAUCCAAUGGAAUCCACAGAAGAAUCCAAAGUUCAAAAAUAGUUGUGUUAUUAGUAGAAAAUCUUAAUACGUUUCUUCACUUGACUGUUUUAUAUCCAAAAAAAUUUAAAAGAAAGGUAUGAACACUUUUCAGAGUUACUUCCCUCCACCAUGAUCAGAACAUAGAAGAAGGUCCCUGGUGGAGGUUGAUCUAGACAUUUACAAAUAUGAAGAGGCAACUAUAUGUGUAUACACAUAAACAUGCACACAGGGUGUCCCAAAAGUCUCCAUACACAGGAAAAAUUAACAAACUCAUGUUAUAUAUUUUAUAUUUUUAAUAUUCUCUAUAGUUAUAUUUUGAAAGAGGUGGCCAACACGUGGAGAAUAUUUUGUAAAUAAAAGUGCAUUUAGAUAGAAUAUCCUAUUUUCCUUAUAUAUGGUGACUUUGGGAAAGCCUUAUAUGUUUGUGUGAAUGUGUGUGUAUCUAUAUACCACUUUCUUCCUUUUCAUGUCCCCCCAAAUGUGCUGCCUGUUCCUAAUUGUGCUUAAUGAUGGGGCAAAUCCUGAGACGUGUGAUAAAAGAGCGACAACACACUCAGGAAAGGAACAGGAAUGUUCACAUUAAUUAUGGUGUCUUUCUUUUUAUAGGUCCUUCUUAUCGGAGUGCCUUUUCUGAUUCCUAAAGUGCAGAUUGAAGACAAACGGGAAGCGUCUCAACUGUGCACACAAGCCCAUAUUCCAAUUUUAGAGUCCUCCGGAAAAAUCAAGAGAACACCUGCAUCAGAACUGGUGGAACUGGAUGAAGAAAAUGCUUCUUUUUAAAACAUGGCAUCACAAAUACUCUUAAUGGCUCAGAAGAUGAUGAGAUGUAGGAUACUGGAGAUGUGAGCUCACAAGAAUUAAACCCAGAUGAAUCAGACUCUGAUAAUUAGACUGUCAUACAGAUUAUGAAAUAAAUGAAAGAUUGUGCCUGUUCCAUUCCUCAACAUUUACUGUUUCCAUUUUGUUGUUACUAAUCUAAAUUAUAUUUUUAGUAAAAAAAAAAAUCUAAAUAUAUUUAAGCAUUUUAUUUUAUUCUUAAAAUCCAUCCUUAAAUAUUCUGAACUAUAUUACAGGGGAAAUCCUUUUUUCCAGAAUCAGAAGUCCAAAAACGAGGUGGUGCUUAGAUUCGAUGGCGCCCUAGAUCUGGUGAAAUACAGUAGUUUGAGGGAGAAAGGAACUCCUUUUCUCUUUUAGCCUUUUCUGAAGAUUCUGGGAUUGAAUCUGGGACCUUCUGGAUUUGACAUUUGCACUCUCCUACUGAAUGACAGCCCCUUCCCUGAAGUUCCAGAUGUGCAUCACUGCCAAAGACCAAAAUCUGAAAAGAAAGCACUUGCCAUGGGUUUGAUCAGCUGUGGCUGUUGUUACAUUCCUAUACUUUGCUCUUCAUCUGAGGCCCGAUCUCCCAAACGACACUGAUGAUAAACAUCUGUCAGGGCUAAUGUGGGCCUAGUGGAUCUUGUUGCAAAGCAUGGGGGUUGAACGCUAUGGAGCCCUUCCACUCUACGAUGACAAAUUUUCCAAAAAAACAACCCCCAUCUUGGGUUUUUAAAGGUCAACAUUCCAACGCGCUUCCCCUUGGAAACCACAGGUCUAUUUUAGCCAAUAUCCACCACCAGAAAGGAACUUCCUGCUUACAAUCCUUGCAUGGAUUCUGAUAUUCCCUUGUAGCUUAUUGAAGACCCCUGCUGUUCUGAACCAUUAUUUAUGUGUUAUGAGAUUGCACCAGCAUUUGUUUGUUUGUUGACUUUCUUCCCCGGCCCUUCUCCAGCUGAGCUUGUGACGCAAUCCAUGUCCAUGAGUUUGAAAGUGUUUUCCCCCACAUGUGGUGCUGAAGCCCACUGGCUUCAAUUACAUUUGUCACAGGAGGUGAGUGGGCUGUAAGCUCAGCCUUAGUGCUUGCAGUGAAGUUGCAUUGCUCUUUCGCUAGGCAUCAGCCAAAGAACUGCCUUGAAUGGCCCAGAGCUUUAUAAAGAAUCCAGGCCACUUGGUAGUUUGCUGUGAAGAACCUACACAACACUUUGCAGAUGAAAGAAGUCAGAUUGAUUCUGAUUUUGAAGCUGUGGUCCAAUUGUUAACCAUGGCAGACUGAGAAUAUGAAUAGGAUGCUUGGAGAGAUGAGAUCAGCCAUGUGCAUGCUAGACUUAUGCUAUCCUUUUCUCAUAAAAACAGAGGUCAAUUGAGUAAAGAGGACUUCAAUGCAGCAAGACAGGUAGGUAAAGAUAAAGGUUUUCCCCCUGACAUUAAGUCUUGUUGUAUCAGACUCUGGGGGUUGGUGCUCAUCUCCAUUUCUAAGCCAAAGAGCCGGCAUUUUCUUUUCUUUUCUUUUUUUUAAAUAAAUUUUUAUUAGUGUUCCUUUCAACAUAAACACAGACAAAAACAUACAAUAAAAUAAAUUACAGGAUUGAGAGAGAAAAAAGAUAAAAGGGAAAGGGAAAAAAAUAGAAGGGGGGAAAAAAACAAAAAAAAUGUAUAAUAUAAAAUAAACUUCCAACUAUUGCAUGGUGUCUUUGGAUCUCAUCUUUCCCCCCUUUCCUAAGUUCUUGAAUUGUUCCUGAUAACCCAGAUCAUUCCUUUUCUCCUAUUAUGAGGUUUUGUACAUAUUCUGAUUUUCUCAGGUCUCAAAUUAAAAUCUUCAUUUUUUCCUCUUUUAAGUAUUUUUUAAUCAUUUCCCAGUCCGUUUGUUUUCUUGGACGACCUUGAUUGAUCGCUAGCAGAUACGUCAAUUUGUCCAUAUUCAUUAUUUCUAAGAUCUUAUUGAUCCAGCAUUUCGUUUCCGGCAUUUUCUGGAGAUACCUCCAAGGUCAUGUUAUCUUCCCACCAGAGUGGUACCUAUUGAUCUACUCACAUGUUUUCAAACUGCUAGGUUGGCAGAAGUUGGGGCUAACCCCAAUUUACCCCACUCCCCAGACUCGAACCGCUGACAGGUAUCCAUCUUUAAAGAAUUACAGAUCAAAUUUGCACUAAAUGAGGAGGGCUAGAUAACACCCCAAAGGAAAGGAUCAGAAUCCAAAUUGACUUUAAAAGAUGAGACAUCUGGGUCCAAACCAGCAAAAUAAAUUCCAACAGUGAGAAAUAUAAAGUAUUACACAUAGGCAGAAAAAAAUGAAAUGCAUAGAUAUAGGAUGGAUGACUGCUGACUUGGCAACAGUACAUAUGAUAGGGAUCCAGGAGUCUUAGUGGAGCACAAGCAAAGCCUGAAUCAACAGUAUGAUUGCCAAUAGGAUUCUAGACUUCAGAUAUUGAGGGAAGUAAUGGUUACUUUGGUUAAAACUCACCCAAAAUGCUGUGUCCAGAAACCAGCACCACAAUUCAAGAAGAAUACUGACAAACUGGAAUGUGUCCAGAGAAGGGUAACCAAAAUGAUCAAAGAAUCCAAAGAAAUAAAGAAUAUCUGAGAAACAAAGAAAUAAAGAUGUAAGAGUUGGUUUAUCAAAGUGGCAGUAUUACUGUAAUUAACUACUUUUGUAACUCUUAGAAUUGUUACUGUUAACUUAUUAUUUUAUGGGAGCCGCGGUGGUGCAAUGGGUUAAACCCUUGUGCUGGCUGGACUGCUGACCUGAAAGUUGGGUUGUUGGCCUCAAGCUUGCCAGUUCGAAUCUGCAAGGUGGGGUAAGUGCCCAUCUGUCAGCUCUAGCUUGUGGGGACAUGAGACAAGCCUUCCAGCAACACAUCCGGGCAUCCCGUGGGAAACGUCUCUGUUGACAGCCAAUUCUCUUACACUAAAAACAACUUGCAGUAUGUUCUCAAGUUGCUUCUGAUGAUAUAAAAAAGUAUUACUUUCCAAUUUUUUUUUUUACAAAAAUGUAUGUUGAAUAAAACUCACCUGAGAAAUAAAACCAAUGUAUGAGUUACUAAACCAAAGUUACAUUUUUGGAAACAGCUCCCAGAACAUCUAUAGGCAAUGCAGGUUUUUGUGGUCUAAAAAGAUAUUUUUCCCAAGCUCUGACGUAAAGAACAAACUCAUGUCUUUCCCAAAAGCAAAAAUCUGAAAACAAAACAAAAACAGUGAGGGUGUGGAACAGUGCGGUGUGUGUUUGCGCGUGUAUGUAUGUUUCAAGUCGGUUGGCAACCGCAUCGUAUUUCAGCCUCCCCUAUAACUUGUGGUAUGGGCCAUCUGGAUGCAUUUUACUCUUCUUUGCACCCUGGUUUGAAUCCAUCUAACUCACACUUUGCCCUCUGUCCUUGGUAUGCUAUGAUCUCAUCAAGAAAGAUUCAUUCAUUCCUUGGCCGAGAAGAAAGAAGAAAACCUGAUGGGAACCAGCAGAGGAAAGGAAAAAUACGCAUCAAGCAUUGGGAUGAAAACUCUAUCCAACCAAGAAGAUUUCAGAAAGAGAAAUAGGGAUGAAGUUUAAUGGAUCGGUCUGAAAGAGUUUACAUCCAUGUAAGGUUUAACUAUAUGGAAGGCAAUAAUAAGAGAAGGAGGAAGAUGAGAGGCUGUGCAGCAUUUAAACUCUCAUGAAUAAACUUUUCUAUUGUCAGCACUCACUCUGCCCUGUUUUAAACAACCACAGCCGUGUAAUUUUCAGCUGUUGGGAAAAUUCACCUAUGUUUAUACUCAUUUUUGAAGUCUUACAGAGUCCUUCAGUCUCUUCUGACUUUUCCCCCUUUUAGUACUGAGCUUUUCAUCCGGGCACCAAUGAGUUGGGCACCGAAGCCAAUUUCAUGGGGCUCCACGCGCUCCCUAUUAUACAAGGACCCACCCGCACCAUGCCAGGCUGCCCUGCAAGAAGGAAUGUUAAUUCCUGGGUUUGGAUCUCUUCCCGCGAUUAGGGGGGAAAUCUCUGCUAAGAUGGAAGUUUUAUUAUCAAAGGCACCGUGCAGUUCCACACGCAUUCAGUUCGAUCCCCCUCACAUUCCCUCAGCCACCCACCCACUUUCAUCUCUCUACCGUUCCUCUAGAAAAGAAAAACAAAGCCAAACAGGCCAAGGGGAGCUUGCCUAUUCAAAGGCCCUUCAAAGAAAACACAACCCACAAUAAACAACUCCCUCAGCUGUUCACCAGAGAAUCACAAGGUAUUGUGAAACUUUGUAACUGCUGAUUCAUGACGGAUUUAGGAAAAACAUCAGCUGAAGUAAUCCGGUCAGGGCAGUGGGUCCAACCACAAAGUUAGCAAGAAAAACAAAUUUUUCUUUUCAUUAACUUUUGACUGAAUGUAGCUUUCAGGACUUGUACUAAAGCCUGUUGUAUGCUACCGUACUUGUUCUUGUUGUUGUGUGCCUUGAAUUCAUUUACAACUUCUGGUGAUCCUAAAGUGAAACCUAUCACGGGGUUUUCUGAGGCUGAGAGUGUGUUACCUGCCCAGUGGGUUUCAUGGCCAAGCAAGGAUUUGAACCCUGGUCUCCAGAGCUGCAAGUCCAAUGAUCAAAAUAGGGGACAAUGACCAAACUCUUCUGCAUAAAUAUUGGCAAGAAAGCCCUGAGAUGAGAGCUCAUAACAAAAGGAAGGAAUCAAUAACUUGUAGGCAAAUAUCAAUUUAUUUAUGUGCCUUCAUGUUACCUGUUUACUUAUGAUGACCCCUUGAAUUUUAUAGGAUUUUCUUAGGUAAGGAAUAGUCAAAAGUGCUUUUGUCAAUUUUUCCUCUGAAAUAUAGUCUACAGCACUUGGAACCCCUUGACAGUCCCCCAUCCAAUACUAUCCAGGGCUUAUCCUGCUUAGCUUCCAAAAUCAUAAAGAUCGGAUGUCUUUAUGUUAUCGAGCCAUAACACCCACCAACCCCAACCCCUGAAGAUUUAUCGUUCAUCAAGAGACUGCAAAUAUAUGCUUUUUCUUUAUAUUACAAGCCUUUUCUGGAGAUCUGGAGUUGCAAAAUUCCAAAAUAUUAGAGGUUCUGGGCCUGACCUAGCAACAGCUGCAUUCUAAACCCUUAAUAAAAUGUAUCCAUUUGAUGAUUUUGUAUAACUUGUAUCUUUUAUAUACUGUAUUGAAUCCUUACAUGAAGUGUAUAAAUUGUUUCUAACAUACGUAUCAAAAUGUACUUUGAAAGAGGCCACCUCUCCAUGUCCCCUGUUUGCGUAAUCCCUUGGGAAAGGGAACAAUAGCUAGGCUCUCUCCAGCCAUUUCCCAAGCCAGGGGGUCAUCUUUUUGUUUACAUGCAGAUCAGUGACCCCCUUUGUCAAUAAAAUAAGCUCAGGAUAUUCAUUCAUUCAACUUGAGGCUGAGACUUUGCUGUUCCUGAGGAAGAGGGGGUUUAGUAUACUUCUCAGUGCCAACAGCCAAACCUUUGUCUUUUGAGUCUUCCAACUUUGUCUCACAUGCAAGUGGACACUUAAGUUAAUCAGAAACUCAUCAGCAUAUCUACGCCAUUGUUUCCUCAUGAGACAUCUCUGUUGGAUUAUGGUUGUAUGUGUAUGAAAUGUAAAUCAAGUGUUUUCUGCUGUUUUGCAAGAGUGUGUGUUUCAGCAAUGAAACAGUUAACAGCAGGCUAGUUUUGACUGACAGCCUGCUGUGACCUAUCAGGCAUGAUUUCCGGCCUUUGGAGGUCUGGACUUCCUUCAUUCUGAGGAAUGUGUUUUUUAUCUCUGUGUGGGUUGAGCUGGUGCUUGCCGAGGCGAGAGGCUAUAGAAGAAUGCCAACUCAGAGCAAUGGCUUUUGCUAUGUUUUGUAAAUAUGUUUAUAGAUAUUGAAAUAAAUGUUUGGACUUCAGACUAUGGAUGUGACAUUGAACAGACGAAUUGGUGUGGCAGACAAUUGCAACCAAUUCAUCAGGGUGCUGGAGGAGAUGAUUGAUGGUGUUUGAAGAAACCCACCAGCGCGCACCCUGACCUUCACGCUGUCAAUCUCUAACAGACCAAUCCCCAGCUACCAUUCUUCCUGCCACGGGAAUCCCCACCUGCAGGCUAUGACAUCAAAGGAACUCCCACUCAAUCCUAGUGCAGAUCCUAGCCUGCCUCCUUUCCAGACAAUCAAGGGAGGGAGCGGGAAGUAUUAAUAGCUGUCAGAACUGUAUUUGUCUGUAUGUUUAUGCUUGUACAUUUUGGAGCAAAUUGCUUGUACUUGCACCCUUUCUGGCUGAAUUGUAAUAAACCUUUGUGGCUUGUCUUCAA